rnacentral:tRNA from 1 species
ACCUGGGUGGCUCAGUCAGUUAAGUAUCUGACUUCAGCUCAGAUCAUGAUCUCACAGUUCGUGGGUUCGAGCCCCACAUCGGGCU